AUACGGAGGGUGCAAGCGUUAAUCGGAAUUACUGGGCGUAAAGCGCGCGUAGGCGGCUUGUUAAGUCGGAUGUGAAAGCCCCGGGCUUAACCUGGGAAUGGCAUUCGAUACUGGCAGGCUAGAGUUUGGUAGAGGGAAGUGGAAUUCCGGGUGUAGCGGUGAAAUGCGUAGAUAUCCGGAGGAACACCAGUGGCGAAGGCGACUUCCUGGACCAAAACUGACGCUGAGGUGCGAAAGCGUGGGUAGCAAACAGGAUUAGAUACCCUGGUAGUCCACGCCGUAAACGAUGAGAACUAGCCGUCGGGGGAAUUUAUUCCCUUUGUGGCGAAGCUAACGCGAUAAGUUCUCCGCCUGGGGAGUACGGCCGCAAGGUUAAA
rnacentral:rRNA from 1 species